AGCUUAUUGUUUUUUUAUUUUAAGUGUUUUCUGCCCGGUGUGUAAUAAACGGCCGCGGUAUCUUGACCGUGCAAAGGUAGCAUAAUCAUUUGUUCUUUAAUUGAGGACUGGAAUGAAGGAAAGAAGUGAGAUUGAUGCUGUCUCUUUUUUUGUUUUAGAAUUUGCUUUUUUUGUGAAGAAGCAAAAGUUUAGAAAAAAGACAAGAAGACCCUAUUAAGCUUUACUUUUUGUUUUUAAUUGUGUGUUGUUAGUUAAUAAUCUUUUUAAUUUGACAUGUGCAAAGUUUAGUUGGGGCGACUAAAAAGGAUUAUGAAGCCUUUUUUUGUUUUUGUAACUUUAAGUUAAAAAAUGACCCAGAAUUUUCUGGUUUAAAGAAUUAGUUACUGUAGGGAUAACAGCGUAAUUUCUUUGUAAAGUUCUUAUUGAAAAAGAAGUUUGCGACCUCGAUGUUGACUUUUUAUUUCCUUUUAAGGUGCAGGGGCUGGAAGGGUUAGUCUGUUCGACUAUUAAAAUAAA
rnacentral:rRNA from 1 species